rnacentral:lncRNA from 1 species
UAGAUAGAGGAUUCCAUUAGAUUAGAUUAGAGUAAAUUAGAUCAAAACACUAGUUCUUAUUAGAUUUGGAGAUUGAAGCAACUUGGAGACCAUUGAAGAUUCAAAGUAGGAGCAAGGAGGGAGCAUCAAAUCUGCAGACAACAGAUUAUAUCUUCUUAUCUUAUUCUAUCUUUGUCUUUUAUUGUUUAUUCAAUUGUGGAUUCUUAGUUUUAAUUCAAUAAUCAUAAACUAAUUCUUUGUUUGAGAUUACAAUGGAUCUUAUUGUGUAGUUUAUUUUAAUAUGAUUCACUAUUAAUUAUUAUGUUCUAUCGUGAGGAUUGUCUAUUUUGAUUUGGACUUAAUUGUUUAAUUAAUUGGCCAUCAAUUACCGUGAUAAUUUAUAUGAACUCGAGAGAUGAAGUUUAGAUUUAGAUCUAAUCAUAAUAGCAUGUGAUUGUGUUUUCUGCAUGGCGUUGGAAUACAUAAUUU